CAUCUUUUUGGGAAUAGAAUUUCAAUUGAGAAUGCCUUAGUGGCUCCCAAAGAACCUUUGAAAAAAAGCAAUAAUCUCAUUAUAAUUCCUUUUAAUAACAUUAGACCUUAAACUCGCAAGCUCCAGACAAGCUUUCAAAUGAAACCCAGAAGCUUUAUCCCAGACUUUUUCUCCUUUAUAACAUACAAGCAUGGUGUAGGGUGGGUGAAGGCCAUGAGAUUGAGGAAGGGGUUUGGAAUGGAUAUCGAUUGGCAGGUUUUUUAGCUCUUUUCCCUGAGUCGCUUACUUCAUUGCUUUCAAGUGGUUUCCAAAGAAGGUUAAUUCAUCUUUUUAUGCUUUUAUAUAUCUUCCCUCUUCUUUUUUUCCCUUGCCAUGAUGUUUCUCAUGUGAAAACUUUGUUCCCAUCCUUGGAUUUUUCUGAAAGAGAAGGGCUAAAGAGGCAUUGUCCUCCACUUGAGAAGCGUUUAUUUUUCUUGGUGCUACCUUUAGAAGAUUAUAGAUUGCUCGUAAAUGGCCAGCUAGCAGGGAUUGUGUAUGGAGAAGCAAUGUGAAUUAUACACGUCUUAUUGAAGUCAAAGGAGGACAAAUUGGGUGCAUGAGAAAGAUUAGCUAUAAUGGUUCCCUGGUGGUGGCACUCAUUUCAAGCAUGGAGCAGCUGAUGAACUUAAGUUUCUUAUAUCACUUAUCCACUUUUGAACUGGUUAAUUUAUCAUUUACUACAGUGGCAAUGAUACCAGUAAUUGAUGAUAUUUCCAAAACUCAAGCACUAUAAUGUUUCAUCUCCAAUGAUACAGGUUAGGAAAUAUGGUAACUAAUGAUACAUGUGAUCCAUGUUCAGCUGGGGUUGUUCAAGUUCUGGAUAUUAGCUAUGGUUUUUUGCUAGCUUCUCAUCUUAUCCUUUUCCUUUGGAUAUACAAACAAUGUUUUUUGCUCCCAAAGAUGGCCAAAAAAAUUAGAUUCAAUUUGCUUUAUAACGAGGAAUCGAUGCCAUGACUUCUGUCAUUGCCACAAAACAACUAUCAUACCCUUCUGGCUCUUUUGAGAAUGUUCAUUGUUCGAGGUGUGUUUGCUUGGGUGUUCUAUCCUGGAUUUGGAGCAAUUUAUAGGUGUUAACCUAGCUUUCCAUUCCUUACUUCUUUCAUAUGAUUUCUUUGAGAUUGCAUUUUUUUUCAGCACCGAGCUUCAAACCAUGUUCAUCUCUAAUUACUUUAGGAGUCAACCCAUUAUACUCCAGUUCAGGUCAAGUAGCUCCAAGGUAAAUUUCUAGGGGUUUUUUUUAUUAAAAAAAUCGUUUUUUUAGGUUUUUAGCCUUUUUAACUUCAUUGAUUGUUGGUUGACAUGGCUUAUGUGUUUUUUAAUGGUUAUUCGGGUUUAAUUGGUUCCUUUACUUUCUUGAACUGUAUUUGACAAGGGGAUUGUUGCCUUGUUUACAAGAAGACAUUAUUAGAUCUUUUUUGGGCUACAAGGAGAGACCAAAUUAUGGUAAAUUUACAAGACUACAAGGAGAAACUAGAUUGUGGUCGCUAUGUUGCUGUCAUCACAUAUGUAUCUUUGAGGGAGAUGAUAAAACCUGGUGCCUUCACUAUUAUAUCUCCUAUGAUUAUUAGAUGGUUAAUUGCUUGCCAUUUGAAUUUACCUCUUUUGCGUAUAUCUUUAAGGGUUAAAUGAAGUUUCCUUGACAUUUUUAUUAUUUGAAGGCCUUCUGUUUUGGAUUUUGGGGUAAUAUACAAGACAUUAUGUACUAGGGGCUAAAGUUGUGGCUUCCAUACUAAUGUUUGUGAUAGUUUCUGGUAUUCUCCUGGUUCUUUUCCUGAACAUAUCAGUUAGAUUUUGUGAAACUAUUUAGAUGUUUGGUAAAUGUUGUUGUAGUUGUGUUGUGUUUUUUACACAAAUGGUUGAUAUCCAUACCAAAUUUGCUGGAGAUAAGGAGAUUCUAGAAAAGCAAAAGAAAGAGUUUGAUGUCUAAACCAAAUAUUUCUCUCAUGUAUUGACCAUGCUUUAUUCCUUAGCAAUAUCAUUGUCAACAUCAACAACCUCCACCAUUGCUAAAUCUCUGACUCUUUCUUAUUUGUUUUUAGAAAAAAGAAAGAGAAUAUUCUCUCUAACUAUCAAAGCUUGUUGAAUGAAAGCAAAGUCUCAAUCUUUCUCAGGCACAAAGGUAGAGAGACGAAGUGUGAAUUGGAAGACAAAAAUAACAGCAACCCACAUAAGGGGUUUCUUAAAAACCUAGCAAAAUUCAUGUUUUCUCUAGGUCCUCGACAGAAACUAUUGUUUUAUGCACAUUUAUUUUGGUUUCUUGAGCUUAUUUGAGGAAUGUUUUGUUCUUAGUAAUAUGAGUUCAAUUAUGUAGGUGAUUGAUUCUGUUAGAACUUUAGAGGGAAAAGAAGUAAAAAAAAAUGGUUUUGUUUAGAAAGUUUUUCUAUAGAAAACCCCCUGAUGGGCUUUUAGAGAUCUCUAAAAGGGUUUAUGGUAUGCUUUAAAUUUUGAUUAAUUUACAAACUUUAUGGUUAAAAUUUGAUAGGUUUUGGUUCAUUUGUGAUUUGAAUUUCUUGCAUUGAUAUUGGUAGGUAAUUGAUCCUGAAAGUCUCUUUCUUUUAUGAUGAUAUCAUGAGGACUUGGUUUUGCCAUUUGGUAAACCAGAAGGAAAAAUGCAGAACACAGAUAAGAGCUUUAUGUCUAAACCAAAAAUUUCUCUCAUGUCAUGACCAUUUUAGUUUUUUACCUUUUCUUUAUGUACUUUGCAACAUGCCCUCCAUGCUAACUUUCAUAAAUAAAAAAAACAUCUUAUAUCUCACAGUUAUUCAUUCUUAUUUAGUAAGGUCAGCGCCAACCAUCUAAUAAUUUGCUUAUAUUUUGGCUAGCAAUAUGUCAUGUUGUUAAACAAAAAAUUCAGAUUUUAUGCUCUAGUGCUAUACUAGGAUUGAAGCUUUAUGGCUUUGGAAUUGACCACGAUUUCUUCUAUGAUUUAAUGCUUUGAAACAACUCCAACGGAUGAUGUCUUAUGUAUGUAUGUAUGUAUGUAUAUCUGUACAUUUUCCUUUCUGUUUGUAUACAAUAUGCUUAUUUCAUCUUUAUUAUCUCUGCAACCAAAAAUGUAGGAUUCAACCUUUGUUGCACACACGUGGUUGCUUUAUGUUUUGGGGGAAGAGAGAAAAAAUGGUUAUUGACUCUCUUCACUGAGGAUAAAUUACAGGAAAAAAAAAAGGAUUAGAAUGGGUGAGAGAUUGGGUCUGUUGAUUAAGCAUUUUCACCAUUUCGCAUUGACCCUUAGAUUUCUCAUGUGUCUAUAGAUUUGACAUGGAUUCAACAUAAGAGGUGAGAAGGUUGACUGUUAUUUUAUGAGGAAUUAUCAUAAAACAUUAGAUAAUUUUAUAAGGAAUCAUUUUAAGUCUUUUUUGUUUGUGUUAAAAAAAAAAAGAAGAUGUUCCACAGACAAGCUUUCUCACGAGCUCUUUCUUAUCGGCUCGAAAUCAAGCGAGCUCAAUGUUUCAUAUGCUAAUUGGAACAUUUUUGGUCUCUUAUUUUUAAACCAUUGCUUGUUGUUAUCGCUCUUAAAAUAAACAAUUGCUUAGCUGCAUAAUCUAAAACUCAUGUCACCAUCUUACUCCUCUACCCAGGAAUCAGCCUCACGGCUUCUUUUUAAAAAGAACACAUCAGCCAUGUUAUUCUUUAACAUUUUCUAUUUCCAUUCUUAAGUCAUAAGAUGUUGCCUAACUACAUUUUUUCUCCAUGUAGUAGCGUUAGGGAAGGCCAGUCGCUCCUCCCAUCCGAGGAGGAUCUAACAGAAGAGCAUAUUUCGCCAUCGAGACUAGAAGAGGCAACGCCUGCUGCAAAGUGCCAAUGGACAUUCCCACCUUCCAGCACACAUGUUAUUUAACUUUUUAAGACUCCAUCUGCACUUUAUAAAUCGUGAUUUGCUGUUGUUUUCUGGCUCCUUUUCAUGCUUAAGUAGGGCUUAGCUACUGUAAAAAUAUGUGAUAGUCCUGUUUAGAACAAUUUUGCAUUUUCAUUCAAAUCUUGCCAUUUGCACCUAAUAAACCUGAUCAUUUUUUUUCUAUAAUGUGAUUGCAUGUUUAGUGCUAACAUCCUUAUUGACAUUCCACAAGGCCACUUUCAUAUUUUCGUUUGAGAAAAUAAUUUUUGCUAACUCUUUUUCAUGAGAAUAAAAUUAGCUGUGGCCAUUGUUUUACCCUGCAUUUAAGUUAGUUCGAGAAACAAGCAUGGUUAUCGCAUAUUACUUUGUUUGCUUUUUUAAAAAAAAAAAUUGGUGAUAAAAAUAUGUUGUGUAAAAACAUGCUUAGCCAGUUGCGUAGUCUCACACCAAGUUGGUUGCUUUCUUACAUGAUGCAUUUUCGUUGUUGUUUCAUUCAUUUUGAUUUCAAGUCUGCAUGCUAUCAUUACUCCUGCCAGUUUCUUUUCACUGCUGCAACAACCAUGGUUGAGUUAGGACUUCUGUUUAUGCAUGCUGUCAACAUUAUCUACACGAGGAUAUAUUGUUUUCAUAGUCAUAUGUUUUUUUUUUUUUUGUGCUUUUCUUUUCCAGGUUAUCAUGAUGUUGCUUGCUUUGUUUCCUCCAGUUAUUUUCUUUCCAGACUCUUAAUUUGGUAUUUGGUUAUAGGAACAGUCAACAAGCGGUCAUAGCUCUACAAAUUAAUACAUCUUCGUGGAGGUUUACUAGCCCUUUCUUGCUCUUCUCCAAGAUCCUUGGCCAAGGCCUCUUCUGCAGAUUUAGAAGAAGGAUGUGCACAACGACAACUUCAUUGUCUGUUCCUUUUCUUCCUUUCACUAGCAAGACUUGCGAGGCACGCUAAGGAAAUGCUAUGUUGUUUAACACCCACUACUGCUGCUUCUAGAACUGUGAUCUUCCUAAAACCAAUGUAUGUUCUGUGCAUUUACUGCUCGUUUCGGCCUUUUUCUUGCAAUGUUUGUCAUAUCAACGCAUUUUUAAUUGACUUCUUCUCUUUCGUUCCAA